rnacentral:rRNA from 1 species
GAUGAACGCUAGCUACAGGCUUAACACAUGCAAGUCGAGGGGUCUCGAAGGAGCUUGCUCCCAAGAGACGACCGGCGCACGGGUGAGUAACGCGUAUCCAACCUGCCCUUCAUAUUGGGAUAGCCUUCCGAAAGGAAGAUUAAUACCGAAUAACAUACGAGUUUUGCAUGAAUCUUGUAUGAAAGCUCCGGCGAUGAAGGAUGGGGAUGCGUUCCAUUAGGUAGUAGGCGGGGUAACGGCCCACCUAGCCGACGAUGGACAGGGGUUCUGAGAGGAAGGUCCCCCACACUGGAACUGAGACACGGUCCAGACUCCUACGGGAGGCAGCAGUGAGGAAUAUUGGUCAAUGGGCGCAAGCCUGAACCAGCCAAGUAGCGUGAAGGAUGACUGCCCUAUGGGUUGUAAACUUCUUUUAUACGGGAACAAACCCCGGUACGUGUACCGGAUUGCGUGUACCGUAUGAAUAAGCAUCGGCUAACUCCGUGCCAGCCGCCGCGGUAAAAC